rnacentral:rRNA from 1 species
CUUUCCCUCUGGCGGUAGGCCUAACACAUGCAAGUCGAACGGCAGCACAGUAAGAGCUUGCUCUUACGGGUGGCGAGUGGCGGACGGGUGAGGAAUACAUCGGAAUCUACUUUUUCGUGGGGGAUAACGUAGGGAAACUUACGCUAAUACCGCAUACGACCUACGGGUGAAAGCAGGGGAUCUUCGGACCUUGCGCGAUUGAAUGAGCCGAUGUCGGAUUAGCUAGUUGGCGGGGUAAAGGCCCACCAAGGCGACGAUCCGUAGCUGGUCUGAGAGGAUGAUCAGCCACAUUGGAACUGAGACACGGUCCAGAAUCCUAGGGGAGGCAGCAGUGGGGAAUAUUGGAAAAUGGGCGCAAGCCUGAUCCAGCCAUACCGCGUGGGUGAAGAAGGCCUGCGGGUUGUAAAGCCCUUUUGUUGGGAAAGAAAAGAAGAAGGUUAAUACCCCGCUGUUCUGACGGUACCAAAAGAAUAAGCACCGGCUAACUGCGU